UCCAGCCUACGGGGCGCAGCAGUGAGGAAUAUUGGUCAAUGGCCGCAGGGCUGAACCAGCCACGUCGCGUGAGGGAUGACGGUCCUAUGGAUUGUAAACCUCUUUUGUCAGGGAGCAAAGUGCCGCACGUGUGCGGUUUGGAGAGUACCCGGAGAAAAAGCAUCGGCUAACUCCGUGCCAGCAGCCGCGGUAAUACGGAGGAUGCGAGCGUUAUCCGGAUUUAUUGGGUUUAAAGGGUGCGUAGGCGGACGCUUAAGUCAGCGGUAAAAUUGCGGGGCUCAACCUCGUCGAGCCGUUGAAACUGG
rnacentral:rRNA from 1 species